CAAUAGCGUAUAUUAAAGUUGUUGCAGUUAAAAAGCUCGUAGUUGGAUUUCUGGUAGGAUGACUGUGCCCUCAGUAGAGUGUGCGCUGGCGUCUUGCCAUCCUUCUGUUAACCUUUGGGAGCUUCACCGCUCCCUUUGGGGCUCAGAUAUUUUACCUUGAGAAAAUUAGAGUGUUUCAGGCAGGCUAGCGCCGGAAUACAUUAGCAUGGAAUAAUGGAAUAGGACUUUUGCCUCUUCUGUUGGUCAUGGGGUUCGAGUAAUGAUUAAUAGGGAUAGUUGGGGGCAUUAGUACUUCACUGUCAGAGGUGAAAUUCUCGGAUUUGUGAAAGACUAACUUAUGCGAAAGCAUUUGCCAAGGAUGUUUUCAUUA
rnacentral:rRNA from 1 species